rnacentral:rRNA from 1 species
UACGUAGGGGGCUAGCGUUGUCCGGAAUCAUUGGGCGUAAAGAGCGUGUAGGCGGCCCGGUAAGUCCGCUGUGAAAGUCGGGGGCUCAACCCUCGGAUGCCGGUGGAUACUGUCGGGCUAGAGGCCGGGAGAGGGCAGCGGAAUUCCCGGUGUAGCGGUGAAAUGCGUAGAGAUCGGGAGGAACACCGGCGGCGAAGGCGGCUGCCUGGACCGGCCCUGACGCUCAUGCACGAAAGCGUGGGGAGCAAACAGG